GAUGAACGCUGGCGGCGUGCCUAAUACAUGCAAGUCGAGCGAACAGACGAGGCUCUUGCUCCUCUGUCGUUAGCGGCGGAGGGGUGUGUAACACGUGGAAAACCUACCUAUAUGACUGGGAUAACUUCGGGACACCGGCGCAUAUACCGGAUAACAUGCUGAACCGCGGGGGUGAACAGUGAAAGACGGUUUUGCGGUCACUUAUAGAUGGAUCCGCGCCGCAUUAGCUAGUUGGUAGGGUAACGGCUUACCAAGGCAACGAUGCGUAGCCGACGUGAGUGGCGGAUCGGCCACACUGGAGCUGAGACGCGGUCCAGACGACUAAGAGAGGGAGCAGUAGGGAAUCGUACGCAAUGGGCGAAAGCCUGGCGGAGCGGCGCCGCGUGAGUGGAGAAGGUCUUGGGAGCGUAAAACUCUGUUAUGAGUGAAGAACAAAUGUGGAAGGAACUAUGCACGUCGUGACGGUACCUAGUCAGGAAGCCACGGCUAACUACGUG
rnacentral:rRNA from 1 species